GUUGUGAAGAGCCGACGUCCAGCCUGGCAUACGUGUACGUCCUGGUGGUGCUCGGGACCCUGGUGUGUGCCUGCGUCCUGCUCUUCGUGUACCGCAGGUUCCUGGGGACCUCCACGCUGUUUUCACGCAUCCCGCAAGUCAGAGAUAAACUGAACGAUGGACAGCAGGUGGACCAGCAGGUCCCCUGGGAGAAGUGCCUGGCCACUGAGGGAAAGACCGACAGUGAACACAUACUCGUGGUGACCUUGCAGGAAGAUACACAGACCCAACCGUGCCUGGGAAGCCACAAGAAGGCUGGAUCCAGUUGAGCCUGAAGGCGUGCUGAGCUGUGAUUGUUUUGACUUGUUGCGUUUUUGUUUUGUUUUGUUUUGUUUUGUUUUGUUUGCUUUUUGGGUCACACCCGGCGAUGCACAGGGGUGACUCCUGGCUCUGCACUCAGGAAUGACCCCUGACGGUGCUCAGGAAACCAUAUGGGAUGCUGGGAAUCGAACCCAGGUCAGCUGCAUGCAAGGCAAACACCCUCCCCGCUGUGCUAUUGCUCCAGCCCUUGCUGGUUGUUGUUUUUUUUUUUUUA